ensembl:lncRNA
AAUGUAUGUCAGUAUUUCUGUGGAAAUCUCACUUUUUACGGGACGUCUUUGCAGGGAUGGGACAGAACCUCAUAUCCCAGCAUGCACACGCGAGCAGAGGCUUAGACGCGAAGGCGCUUCCCUGAGCUGCGGCCGUGCGGGCGGUUCUCGCGGCGGGCCGGGCGAGCGCGCGCUGCCGCCGCUACUGCGUUCGCCACGUUCCCCGCUCGCGCUAAUUGCUACAUCACGCACGGCGCUCGCGCUCACAUUCACCGCGCCAACGCCGAGCGAUGAGCUCACAGGGCGGAGAUUCGGCGGAGCAGCACCGGCGGCAGCAGUUGCUGCGUUUAAUUUAUUUGCAUUUGAAGGAGAAUGGCUACGAGAAAGCUGCCAAGGUGCUUAAAAAGCACAUUUGUCAGAAAGAAACGGAAGCGAGCGUGACACUUUAUGAAAUAUACACCGGUUGGAUAAAAACUUCAGAUGGUUUUGGAGAUACGAAGCAGGAGCCUGGACUGAACAGGGAGAGCCCCCCGAAGAAGUCGCACCUGUCGGACUAUGCCGCCGGGGUCGAGGGAGACGAAGUCAAACCCGAAAAAGGUCACAUCAUUGAGAAGACAGAAGAACCUGAAUUUAAGCCCAUCAUUGAUGAUGGAUCUGUGUCCCCCUGUAACAAACCUUUCAUUCCCUCUGUGGUAAAAAAGUCUUCCAAAAGCACAGAAGGUCACUCAGACUGCAAAGAUGACCCUGAUGGAGACCAGCUGCAGACACCCCCUGGCCAUGCCAGUAGUGUGCCUCCUUUAGUGGAAUUAAGCAAACCCACCAUCCCUCAGGAGGAAACAGUUCCCUUGACACAGGACAUGGGAGUAAAAGUUAUAAGCUCAGACAGUGAAAGUCCUGAAGAUUCAGAAGAAGAGGAGCAGAGGCCACAACAGCAGGCUGAAGGUACUACACCAAAACCCACAGCUAUGAAGACUUCAAGUGUAGCAGGGGCCAGUGAGUCUAAGAGUUCAGCUGACAGUAAUGAUUCUCAGAGAGAAGAAGAAGCACCUGUCCAGAAACCUGGGAAAACACCAGUACGUAAAUCCUCCAAACAAAUUCCAACAAAGGGAGCCACUGCAGCCCCACUAAAGUCUAGCCAGGACACCACCAGCCAAGCUUUAGCUACACCCAAGAUCUCUGCUGCCCAGAACAAGGCUGAGUGCUCUGGGAGUGAGAGCAAUGAUAACUCAGUCAGUGACCAGGAAGUGACACAAGACCAGAAAGCUGUAUCGGACAGUCCAAAUAACACCGCUACAGAGACGACCCCUGCACCAGUUAAACCCAGUUCCACCCUUGACCUAACUGCAGCCCCUUUGAAAAGAGAAGAGAGCUCAGACGGUGAUAAUGAGUCAGAAAGUGAAGAGGCAAUUCCACCAACCCAGGCCACGUCCACAAAGCCCACAGUAAACCCACCUUCAUCCACUCCAGCAGUGGUCAGCAGUUGUCAGAGUUCAGACAGUGAGGAGGACGUGUCUGUCCAGAAAGCAGUCAAAACCCCAAAAGUUAUACCUGCAGCCCCAGAAAGGCCCAGGCAGUCUGUACACAGCAAAGCUAAAGAUGCCCCUGAGGUUCCUGCUGCAGAGAAGAAAGCAGAGAGCUCAGAGAGUGAGAGUGGUGAUGACUUGGAGAGUGAAGAAGAAGCUGUUAAAGAGAGCGCUAAACCUGUGCCUGACACACCACACAAGGCAACUACAGUGAUUGUCACCCCUGGUCUCACCAAAGUCCCUUCAAAAACAGAAGAGACCUCAGAGAAUGAUGACCAAUCCGAACGUGAAGAAAUUCCACCAACACAGAAAGAAGUGACAACCUCAACAUUGACAACUACCCAGAAGACUCCAAAGAAUGGAGCUUCCGCAGCUCCACUGAAGCCCAGCCAGCACAAAUCAGCCCAGGCUAAAAAGUCACCCAAGGGUCUUGCUGUAGAGAAGUCCGAGAGCUCUGAGAGCAGCAAUGAUUCAGCGAGUGAAGAGAAAGCCGAUGGAAAACCCAACGCUGCAAAAAAGACCACUGCAGUUAUGACUCCAGCACUAGUUAAACCCAGUACCACAUCUGGUCGCACCACAGCCCUGUCAAAAUCAGGAGAGGGCUCAGAGAGUGACGAUGAAUCAGAAAGUGAAGAUGAAAUUCCACCAACCCAGAAAACCAAAAUCCCAAAAGGGACACCUGCCAAGAUUUCACCCACGAGGGCAUCUAAAACUCCAGUGAAGCUCAGCCAUCCCACACCUAUCCAGGCUAAAGGUGCAAAGAAGGCUGACAGCCCAGAGAGCAGUGAUGACUCAGAGAGUGAAGAGGUAGCAACACCACCACAACAGAAAGCUGGUGUGACACCGAAAGCUAAACUUGUGUCUGGCCCUGCAAAGACAACUGCACUGAAAGGUUCAACACCAGGUAAACCUAGUUAUACCUUGGCUCCCACCACAGCCUCCUCAAAACCAGAAGAGAGCUCAGAGAGCGAUGAUGAAUCAGAAAGUGAAGAGGAGAUUCCCCCAACACAGGUAAUGUCCACUGAGCCCACAGCAAGCACACAUUUAGCCACCCCAGCAAUGGUCAACAGGGGUCAGAGUUCAGACAGGGACAGUGAGGAAUCUGAGAGCGAGGACAACGCACCUGACCAGAAACCAGAGCUGACCAUCAAGCCAAAAGUAUGUAAGGUUAUUCCAGCAAAGUCAUUGAGUGCGGUGACCCCAGUCAGAGCCAAGACCGCACCCACCACCACCUCAAAAACAACCAUGAAGACCUCAGUAUCUGUCAGACGAAAAAAGAGUACAAGCACAGACAGUGAGGACGAGAUUCCAAGAAAGUCAGCCCCAGCUAAACGGGCUUCCAUGGUGUCAGUCAAGCCUGGACAUCCCAUUCCAAGCCAGGUUAAAGCAGCACCCAAGGCCCCUUCUAAAGAGGGAAAGGCCAAGGAGGCUAGCAGUGAUGAUUCGGAGAGUGGUGAAGACCCUUCAGCGAAGAUUGCUGUGGCAGCUUCCGACAUUUUGCCCAAGAUGAAAUGCAAAUCCACAACCCAGACUGUACAGAAGACUCCGAACGCUUCAAAAAAAGUGGCCGGUGGCAGUGAGGACCUGUCCGAAAAGGACGCAUCUCUUGAAAACUCGGCUUUGAAGACUCCCAAAGCUAAACUACGUGCCGUCGCUCCAGAACUUUCAUCUGACAUCAAGAGCAGUACAACCAAGGGCACUGAGGAUGGUGCUUCCAUACUCGUUCAGGAAGUCUCAGCAAUAAUGGAUUCUGAACCUGACAUAUUAGGGACAGCAUCUUCUGAUGCAGCUCCCAAAAACUCAAAGGACGGUGAUGUCAUUGCAGAGGAGCUCUCCCAGACUUCUCUGGACCCAAAAGAAUCUAUGAAGAAAGCCACUGAAAGAAGGAAAAGGAGGAGGAAGAAGAAGAAGAAAAAAAAGAAAGCCUCUGUCCAAUUUGAGGAUGAGAACAUUUCCCCCACAGGCCCUGGUCAGGAGCUGAUUUUACCCAGUGGAGGAUCUGCCAUCAGUUUGGACCAGUUAAUAACAAUGCCAUGCAAAGCUUCUGAAGAGCCAGAAUCAUCUGAGACUGGUGUUAGUCUUAAGAAGGUUGGAUCAAAGAGCUCAAAGUCACUAGUAUCAGGAGUGAAUAGUGAGGGAGAGCCUGAAGUGAAAACCAUAGCAACAGAAGCUAUGCCUCAGGCAAAAAAGAGGAGGAGCACAGACAAAGGAGAUAUGGAACCGAAGAGUAAGAAGAAGAAGAAGAAGAAGAAAGGUGCAGACACAGAAGCAAACCCCACAGAGCUGGGGAACAACCCUCAUUCCGAGAACAAGCUUAAUUUGGAAGAGUCAGAAAAAGAGGCACUGACUCCCUCAGAUGAUGCAACUGCAAAGAUGGGCUCUGAUGACUCUAUGGAGUCCAACUCCACCACCCUCAUUUUGUCUGCAAAGGCCUUAAAGAAGAUUAAGAAAAUGAAGAAGAAAGAGAAGGUAAAAGUUAAGAAUACAGGGAGUAAAAAGAUUAAAGCCCACAAGACUAUGAGUGUCUUUACCUCUGUGGCUGAGCAGCUGCUGGCCAUUACCAAAAAAAAAGAAUUAAAGAAAGCUACUGCUGUGAAGAAGCCGCUAUUGGUGCUUGAUCCGCAAAAAAGGAAGAAAUUUGACAAAGACGGUACUAUAAGAUCAGAGCCAGAAUCUGAAAUUCCUGCUUUUAAGAAAAGAAAAAAGAAAAACAAAAGCAACAGGGAGGAGAAGACACCUUCAAAGAAGAAGCAAACUCAGGACACAGAAGACCAUGAGCUGCAAAUCCAAGGUCUGGCGGAGAGUACGCUUGUGAAGAAGAAAAAAAAGAAAAAGAAAAACAGAUGGAAAGACAGAGGAAAACUGAUCAAGACACCUUUCAAGGGGCCACAGGGGCUUCAUCUGGACACACCUCCACCUUUAGGGACUAGUCCAGAACCUUCUAAAGCCGCCUUGGGAAAAGUGAGAAAAAAGUAAAGAAAAAUUUUGUUUCAAAUGUAUUAUCACGUGUUUUACAUCAUUUUGUAAUGCUGUAAAAAGAAAGUAAUGGACUUUUUUUGUAGAUCGCGUUCCUUCAGAAACAGUGAAUGAUGGAUGGGUGAGUAGAAAAUGUUAAAAUACACUUUGUGUUACUACAUGUUUUCAUUGUAAUGUAUAAUAGAUACACCAUACUAUAUUUAAAAUCUCCACAGGAAUUGCUGUUCUCUGCGGACCCGAGAGUAGAUGAGCUGCUGGCCAGUGAAAGAGGAUCAACUCUUCCACACGGGUUAAACUAGUGUUACUUUAUAGUGAGGAAAAAGUUACUUCAGUUUGUAUGUGCUUUCUGUGAAACAUGUUUGGUUCUAUAGCAUUUUAGCAGUAAGCAAUACUACAGAGGAUGGAAGGUUUUGUUACAGCAAUAUUAUGGAUUUAUUCAGUUUUUCUAAUUGUAUGGGAUAUUUUCAGUUAGAUGCUGCUGACUCCAGUUAAGACUAUGGAAAUGAAUUCUGCAUCCAGUGUGGAUUCUCUGUACUUAAAGGUGACUUUAUAUUUGACAGGGCAGAAACAGUAGCACACAGACUAGCAUGUGAUUAUCACUGUGCUUUGGGAACAAGGUUAUACUGACCAUAGACCACCUUACUGCAGUAGUUGAAAGGGAGGCUUUUCUCCCUUAACACAUAAUACAAGUGUUUCUGCCACACACACUUUUAGACACUGUGAAACAGGCAUGUAACUGUCAUUUUUCUGGUGUUUGUUCAUUUCAGCUUUUAAUAAAUGUUAAUUUUGCAUUAUUUGAAGGAGCA